rnacentral:lncRNA from 1 species
AAUAUUAAAACUUCAAAAACCUUAUUUUUACAAUGCAAUAAAGUUUUACAAAGUUGUCCCAUUGUAGGCAGACCUAUGCCAACCUACUUGUAAAAGUCCAAGGAAGCUGAGAGGACAAAUAAUGUGGCUGACAUAUACAGUUCCUCAGAAAGAAACAUAUAAACAUAUAAUGGGCAUUUACAAUCAGAAGCCAUGUCUGUUUCUUAGGGAGCAGCAAAACAGGAUGGUGAGUCUGCAUGCUAUUGUGGCCCAGACCCAAGGAAAGAAUAUAUGUGCUUCAGAAGGGGUGUAUAGGACAGUUGCUUAAAGGUAGGAUUAAUUGUAAGUAUGAUAACAUCAAAGUUGUCUUUACCCAAGGGCAGGAUUCACAGUAAGUACAUGCUCUUACACAAGGAAGAGUAGAUAUAGCAGAAAUCUUAGAGGGCUUCUCCAAACCAGUGUUAAUCAGAAGUCAACAUGAUGGAUUAGUAUCCAAGAUGGAGUUGCUUUAGCCUUCACAAAAGUAGCUACUUAGGUCAAGACAUCAGCACACUUAAAACCUUGCUCAUGCCUCCAUUCAGUCAUUAAACGUCUCAAGGAAAUGAUAUUUUUACUUCUAUCAUCAUGCUAUGGCUUGAAUGUCCCCUCCAAAAUUCAUGCUGAAAUUUAAUUGCCAUUGUAAUAGUGUUGAGAGAUGGGACCUUUAAGAGAUGAUUAGGUCAUAAAGGCUCUGUCCUCAUGAAUGGAUUUAUGCUGUUAUUGCAGGGGUAGGUUAGUUUUCUUGAGAGUAAUUUCAUGAUAAAAGGAAGAAGUCUGGCCUUCAUCCUCUCUGACUCAUGUACUUGCUUGCCCUUCUGCUUUCCACCAUGGAAUGAUGCAGCAUGAAGGCCUUUGCCAGAAUUAGGUGCCAUGCUCUUGAACCCCUCAGCCUCCAUAACUGAAUCUAGCAGCCCAAAGGGACAUUGCAAAUAGUAAAGAUGUGGGCUACGGAACAGCAGGCUUAAAACUCCCUAUCAAAGUGGGAAAUAAAAGGUCAUUCUCAAAGUGGCAGCCAAAGAGAUAUACUAACAAACAACAUUGAUGAGAAGGAGAUUCUGUUAAUAGGAGGAAGGAAAAGCAUCAAAGGCCCCCAAGUCUCAUACAGGGCUACUCCUUCAACCUGGGUUCCAGAAGGAAGAAGACAUGGAGCAAAACUGUAUGGACAAUGUAAUGUGAACAAGAAAUAAAGCAUCAUUUUUGUAAUAAUUUGCAGGGAAACUCAUGUUAAUGUUAUUCCACUAGACUAAAUCACCCUCCCCACCAAUUUGGCUGAUUUAUUCAGGCCCCAGCUGUCUGACCCAUGCUUCAAGUGCCAUCUCUUAUAAGAAGUCUUCAGUGAUUCCUCUAGCUAAACGUAAUCCUACCUACUGCAUAGAAUUGUUAGGAAGAGUAAAGAACAAAUUUAUCAUUCAUUUUUCCAGACACUGGACAUACACUAAUCAAGAAAAAGACAAAAAAUCUCUCAUGAAGUUUACAUUAUAGUGAAAGAAACCAACAAUUAAAAAUGUAAGUAAAAUGUAUUAUGUGUAGAGCUAAAUGCUUAGGAGAAUAAAACAGAAAAAAGUGAUAUGAGAUAAGCAUAUGUGGUUGAAAUUUAUAUAGGACGAUUGGGAAAGGUCUCAUUGAGAAAGUGAUUUUUGAUUAACAAUCAGUAAGUAAGAAGGUGAGCUCUAUGGGGAUCUGGCAAAGAAGAACUCCGGGCAAAGGAAAAAGAAAAUACAAAAUUCUCUAAACAGGACUUGUGUUUGGAAUAUUGGAGGAACAGUGAGUAGGUGUGUGGCUAGAGUAAAUGAGUGAGGGGUAACAAAUAGAGAACGAGGUCAAGAGAUCAGAUACGUAGAUUAUAUAAGGACUCAGUUAUCAAAUACUCCAAUCAAUCGGUUAUUAGCAAUUAGUUUUUAUAAUUAACAAUAAAUAUUUCCCUACUUGAGCACUCAAAGUGCACUUUAAUGGUACCUCCUUAAUGGUGCUUAUCAUUCUCUUUCUGGCAUUCAUGGCUAUUCUUUUCUAUCAGAUCAUAAGAUUAAAUCUUACUUAUCAUUUUGUACCUUUCAACAUUACACUGAACAAAUUGCUGCCCACAAAGUUAUGAGACUAAAACCCGAAUCACUUAAUUGACCUUUACUGGUGUUUUUAUCAUAGAAAAAUGGCCAUAAACAUGGCUCACUCUCACAUCAGCCAAAGAAGGAUUCACUGAAAUUUUACAAGUUUUAUUUAGUCACCGUCCAAACACCUGAUGAUUGACCCUAUGUAGAUAUGUACUUUUCUAAAUUUUGUUUGAGACUAUUAAUGUUCUCUACAAGUUGCCUAGAUGGUCCAUAUUCAUUCAGUAAGUCAGCAAAUGCAAUUCAAUGACUACCACAUGCCAAGCAUUAUGAGGAUACAGUGGUCAAUAUGAUAGACAUUAUCUCUGUUCUCUAAAACUUACACUCCAGUGGGGAAAACAUUCAAUUUUGUAGUUGUAAUGCUUCUGAUAUAAAAGUGAAUGUUUUUGCUUCUAGACUAAAUUAACAUUUAACUAUGAAAGUUAAUGGUAAAUAACAACUACCAUUUACAGAGCUUUUAUGUGCGCCAAGCAUGUGUGAAAUACUUUAUAGGUAUUGCUCUAUUUAAUAUUCAUACAAUCUAGAGAAGUAGAUAUCAUUCCUAUUUUCUAAAUGAAAACACUGGGGCACUGAUAGUUUUAAAAUUUUGUUUCUGAAAUACAGACAGUGUUUUGCAGAACUGAGAUUUCAACCUAAAUCUGCCUAACUUCAAUGUCUUAUUCUUAACCUCAUAGACUGUGUUUCUAACCAGUUACCUCUUUAGUGUAUUAUAUGAAGUUUUGUAUAUAUUAAUUACUUUAGUAUGGCAAAAUGUCAGGAAGAAGUAGGGGUUAAUUUUGGGCUUCCCGUAACAGUUUUCUCAUCAUGUCUGAGCACUGUAAAUGUCCUAAAAUAUCCAAGUUAUCAGAUGUUACUUCAUGUGAUAUUGAAAAUUAGUGUGUGAGUGACCGUAAGGAGAGCAGUAAGAGUAUAAGUAGGAUUCAGGACAACUCAAAGAUAGCCCAAGCAUAUUAAUUCUUAGUGAAGGUAAUACCUAAUUAUUCUAAUUAGUUGUUAUUUCGAGGAUUUUUUGUAUAUGUCUUCACAAACACUUCAUUGUUGCUUGAGCUAAUUUUAAGAAUGCAAUUUAAGAUACCAUGUCAUAAUGAAGCAGCAUCAUUGUCUGGGGUAAAUACCCAAGGUUCAUUGUCCUCCUCCAAGAAGAUUAAGAACACAAACACACAUGAGGAGUGAAUUUAGGAGCAGAGGUUUCAUAGGCAAAUGAAAGAGAAAGGAGAGCACCUCGCUCUCUCUCUUGUGAGAGAGGGGAAUCCAAAAGGGAAAAGCUGGCCUGCAGCGGACGGUAGCAGAUUUUGUAGGCAGGCUUGAGGAGGUGGUGUCUGAUUUACAUAGGGCUCACAGAUUGGUUUGACAGAUGUGACAUUUACAUAGCAUGUGGGGAAGGCUGGUUGCCCCACCCUAAUCUUAUUAAGCAAAUAGUCUUUCCACUUGGCCAGCGCCAUCUUGUCUGAUCCUUACUGUACACGUGGCUGGCCAAGAGAAGAGAAGAUGGAGCGGCCAUUUUGAUCAUGCCUAGUCCCAGAAUAUAUCAGCUGUGAAAAUAAGUGAAAGAAAGAUUUUCUUAUCUCCAACAUUUCUGGGAAGGGGUGUGUCUGUGGAUUUUAUGUUACUGGAAAGAGACAAUCCAGUAGUCCACUUUGUCAGGAGUGUUUCAAACAACAUCUGUGAACCCACUGGACUUCAAGCUCCUACAGGCUAGAGAUUUGGUCUAUUUCAUCUGCAUUGUGAAAGGUCCUGGAGACUGAGAAUCAGGAAUUACUAGACUAUAAUGGAUGAGAUUUAUAAAAAAUAAGAUGAAGGUAAGCAGCUGUGCACAGCUGCUCUGCUAUAUUGGGAGGAAACUAGAACAAAGACACAAAACAAGAGUUGCAAGGGUAUAUGUACAUGUUCUGCCUGUGUUUAAGAGCCUAUCUAUGUUGCAUUUUGAGUUAUCUUGCUGGAGGAUAAGUUUGCAAGUUUGAGGCAAAAAGGCUUUGUGCUCUUGUGGUAAGAUCAUCAGGGAACAGCUCUCUGGAGGUGGUGCAGUGCAUAAGAGAGAAACUGGCUAGUGGUGGAAAUAAUACACUCCUUGGAAAAAGUAAAAGGAAAAUGUAAAAUGGAGUCUACCUUCUGGAUGCAAAGAAAUUCUCAUCAUCACGUGAUAGCAAGAUAGAAAAUAUGGUGACAACAAAAUUUUGACCAUUUAUAAAUAAUAAGUGAACUUCCAAAAAAGAAGGGAAAUGUUUGGAGACCAAAAUUAAGAGAAGCCACAAUGGUUUUGAUAUCAGGAUGAUGCUGGCCUCAUAAAAUGAGUUAG